rnacentral:rRNA from 1 species
AUAACGACUCUCGGCAACGGAUAUCUCGGCUCUCGCAUCGAUGAAGAACGUAGCGAACUGCGAUACUUGGUGUGAAUUGCAGAAUCCCGUGAACCAUCGAGUCUUUGAACGCAAGUUGCGCCCGAAGCUGAAGAUUCGGCCGAGGGCACGUUUGCCUGGGUGUCACA